rnacentral:lncRNA from 1 species
CAGGAAAAACCUGGCAUCCUUAAGCACAUGUGGAGAGCAGAUUUUUGAAAACCUACAUCAAUCUAAUUAGAAAAAAGAAGGGAAAAAUAUUAAUAUCCUAGGCAUAUGCAGGAAUUUCAAUUAUCUUUUGCAAUAUGUUAUAAUUUUGCAUGUUACAAAACAUUGUUAUUUUUAAUCAUUAGAUCAUGAUUCAUCUUGAGAAACUUUAAUUUCUGUGGACUUUUUCAAAGUUUUCCUUUAUUAGAAUGCAUUAACAGAAAUAGCUACCUAGCAUGCAUGAGUGAGAGAGAGAACCAUGUUUGUGAAAACACUUAGAUAUUUACUGGCCCAUGGUUUUAGGAGCUAAUAAAUUUUUUAAGUAUAUGGAAAGAGGUAAGGGAAUUCAUGCAUCUCCUUAUUUAUAAGUCACUGUGGUCUGUGAUAACAUUGUACAGUAUUAAGAGAGAGCAGGACAAGCAUUGUUAUGAUCAUCCAACCAGGAAGUAAAUUAUGGUGAGGUCUCCACAGUCCGAUUGAGAUGGAAACUAGAAGCAAUUAUCAGGUAAUUCAAUGAAUAUUAAAAUAAUUGGCCAGCUUUUCACUUCCUCUGUAUCUAAGGCAGGUGAGUCAAUCUAAAUUAGAGAGAAACAAGAAGGAUCUAUGACCCUGAUGGAGAUUAUAUUCUACCUCCUUCUUGUUUUCCAGGACAAUUUUUCUUAUUUUUUUGUUUUCCCCUGAAAUCCCUCCAGAAUAACAAAAACACACAUGCAAAAAAAUUGUAAAGCAUGGAUGUAAUCAUUUGCCUCUAUUAUGAAACAAGAGUUUCACUGCUUGGUUUUCUAUACCACCCCUCUAACUUGCCACAUACACACAGAGCACAUAUUCAGCUCACUGCUUAUCACUUACCUCUGAAUUGCAAAAUAUGUUUGAUCUAAGUCAGGUUCCUAAACUCAUGGCUCCUAAACUUGGCCUUUCAUUAGAAUCGCUUGGGGGAACUUUUUUUUUUUUUUUUUUUUGGCUUUUGUCUUUUUGUUGUUGUUAUUUCUUGGGCCGCUCCCGAUGCAUAUGGAGAUUCCCAGGCUAGGGGUUGAAUCGGAGCUGUAGCCACUGGCCUAUGCCAGAGCCACAGCAACGCGGGAUCAGAGCCGCGUCUGCAACCUACACCACAGCUCACGGCAACGCCGGAUCGUUAACCCACUGAGCAAGGGCAGGGACCGAACCUGCAACCUCAUAGUUCCUAGUCGGAUUCAUUAACCACUGCGCCACGACGGGAACUCCCGCUUGGGGGAAGUUUUUAAAAGUUUGCAUUCCCAAACACCAGCACUGACAGUUGUAAUGCCAUAGGUACGGGAAACAUUUUCUUAGAGACCCAAAGUUAAAUACCAGGAAAAUUGAGUCGCUCUUGUUCUUUGGCUUUAUACACACCAGGAGGGGAAAAUGUCUUGCAAAAUAUAUGUUACCACUUCUCCCUCUAGAACUCAUGGUAGACAUCAUUAAUUGGUCAUGAUAAUCUUUCCAAUAAUUUCAGUCUCAAAAUCCUCAUUGCCACACUAUUGGUGGCUACCAAAAACCGAUAUUUGAAGGGGGAAAAAAAAAACCCAAAACCCUGUUUGUCCUAAAAGAAAAAAAAGACACUCGAGUUAACUGCUAUAAGGAAGGAGCAACAUGCAUUUUACCAUAGUUAAUCCACUUAUGGCUUGUAAAUUCAUUAAUUUCUUAAUGUCAUUCUGAUUUAAAUAUAAAUAACUUUAAAUAUAAAGAACUAUGUACUUUCUUUUCCUCAAGAGAGGCUUACUUUACGUCAUCCAGAAAAUAUUUCAUAGAAGUCAAUAGACAACUCUAUCAUUAACAUGUAAUUGGAGUUCCUGCCAUGGCGCAGUGGUUAACGAAUCUGACUAGCAAUCAUGAGGUUGUGGGUUCAAUCCCUAGCCUUACUCAGUGGGUUAAGGAUCUGGCAUUGCCAUGACCAGUGGUGUAGGUUGCAGACACGGCUCAGAUCCUGCAUUGCUGUGGCUCUGGCAUAGGCUGGUGGCUACAGCUCCCAUUAGACCCCUAGCCUGGGAACCUCCAUUUGACAUGGGAAGCAGCCCUAGAAAAAGACAAAAAAAAAAAGAAAAAAGAAACAUGUAAUCUUAAAUCAUCAUUAGAAGAAGCAAGGGAAGUUACCGAAAUUUAUAAACCUCCCUUGCCACUUUCCUUCAUUCUGAACACAUUAAUCUUAAACCACUGAUGUUAAGAUUCUGAUUUACAAAGCUUGCAUGAACAAAGUUCAUUAUGACUUAUCCACAAAGAAAAGUUAGGAAUGUGGCACAAAGACAAAUUUGAUGAGGAACAUACAGGGCUCAUAAGGGUAGCGCAGGACAAAUUCAUUUUUAAAACUUGUGCAAUAUAAUAUUAAUAAUCAGAAGAAGGUCUGAUAUUAAAAGUUCUUGGAAAUUGAAUUCAGACAAAGUUUCAGCUUCUAUACUUCUAACUUGACAUCUCCACAUCAACUUUCCUUUGAUAUUUUCCUUCGCAAAUAAUAAUUAGAAUACUUUUGUGAUACAGAAAGCCUCUGGACCAUGGAUUCAGGAAAAGCCAUUAAAGCAUAGGUGGGGAUAAGAAAAUAAAUCAGAUGUAUUUUCAGCUUAUUGUGGUACAGCAUGGGCCAGAGUAUUUACUUAUGGCUUAAUUGAAUAAGAUUUCUCCUAAAAAAAGAUGGAGGUUUUGGGCCCCAACCCCCAUACUUUUCAGUAUGGGAGUAGUUAUUAGGCAGGAAAUGGGAACAAUGAAAGCAGAUUUGAGAUGAUAUUAAAAUAUGUGAGCUUAUUAAGAUAGCACGAUACUCUAUUUUUCUUUGGCCUAGCCCUGGAUAGAGCUUGGUUUCUAAAGCUUAGGGAAUGCCACAUGGCAAAUAAAAUAGCAGAAGCUUAUUCAAACCAGAUAGGUUUUAUCUUAAUUUACAUUAUUCUAGUGCCAAAGAGACCCUGAUAUAUUCGGGGUGGGGAUGUGGCUGGCAUAGUUAAUUCUGACAAACAAUAGCAAAGGCUGGGGUAAUUGCCUUUGCUUUAAUUUUACUUGGCCUUUAUAAAUAUUGACUAACUUACAGGCUAGAUAAAAUGGUGGCUAUGAAUAACUUGUAUUUAUUUUUCUUAUGUAUAAAUGCAUACUUUGAAAAUAAAGGGAUCACAUUUACUGAUGAUUUCCUUACACAGUAUGUGUUUUUGUCAUUUACUGCUUUCUGAUAAACUCAAACCCAGCCUUCAGGCAGCACUUAUAUAACAUGCUUAGUAUCUAUUUGAAAAUAGAAAAGUUCAGUCAAGUUGCCAUUUUUUUUCCUGUCAUCCAGUUUUAACUGAUAAUUUUAAUAAAUAGAAUCUUAUCUUUUUGUUGUUGAAGGAGGGGUCCCAAAAAAAAAUGGAACCUCCUAUCACCCUCGAUGCUCCCUAUGGAAAUGACAUUCAUAAGCUAAAUAUUUGCAGAGAAGGUUAUUCCCUUAAAACUUAAAUUCAAAUGUUAUAUAAGCCAGAAAGAAAAUAGUAACGUAGAGUAUCUUCUUCCAAAUGAGAUAAGCUCUUUAUCUGAAGCAUGGGCUCUGCUCUUUGAACACAAGGUUGAAAUAAGCCUCUGACCUGAUGGAUGAUAAAAUCUCUUCCCUGGAUUUUUAACAUCAAGUUAGCUUUAAAAGAGCCUUUUAUAUUUAAUAUGUUACUGAAACUUAUCCAUGUAGAAAUGUGUUUGAUAUUGGUGUGGUGCCAGCUUACUUCCAGAAGUGAUGCAUUAAAGUUAAAAUUGAAUAUAGUAAAGGAUGUAAUAAUAUGAUAAUUGAAAGUUUGGGGGGUCCAAGGUCAAGUUAUGGCAUUUAUUCAAGGAAGAAAUUGAGGGCUACAAACCUCACAUUCAACAUCCGCAAAAUGAGACUAAUAAUACCUACUUCUAGGAAUGGAAUUCAAAAUAUUUAGCAAUAGGUUGAACCCAAGCCUAGAAAAUUCUGAACAAACAUCCAUUUGGUCAAAAUAAGUGCCAGUCAACAUAGGUACCGCUAAGGACCAAAUAGAAAUCAGCCAUUUUUAUUUUAUCAGAUUGUGGGCACAUAAAAAGAGGCCUUAAGUCUUAACUAUUCAUGGUAGCCACCCAUCAAGAUGACCCCAUUGAUUCCUACUUUGUACCUGGGAUGGUCUGUGUGGCCAAUAGAAAGAAUACAGCUAAAGGUAAGGUACAUAAAUUAUUUCAGAGAUCCUAAUGUAAAAGUCACUGCAGUUUCCAUCACGGUUGCUAUUGUUCUUCUCUUGAGUCACUCACACUGGAGGAAGCCAUGUCAUGACCAGUCCUAGGGAGAGGCACCUGUGGUGAGAACUGAAGCCCUGAUGGUAGCCAUGGGAGGGAGCUUAGAUUCUCCAGCCUGAGUAAAAUUCCAGAUGACUGAUUCCCUGACUGGUGGCUUGAUUAGAACCUCACAAGAGAUUCUAUACCAGAAUCACCCAACUAAACAGCUCCUGGAUUCCUGACCCUUAGAAUCUGCAUGACAUGAUAAAUGUUUGUUAUUUCAGGAUGUUAAGUUUUGAGAUGAUUUUUAUGCAUCAAGAGCCCACUAAUCACUAUAUAAUUGGCAUUGUUAUAUGAUAGAGAGAUGAGCAGGAAAACAAGGUGGGUAGUACUUAAUGCUGAAAUCUGAAUAAAGGAGAGAUCUUAGACAGGAAGCUUUUUUUUUCCCCUUUUUUGCAGAGUUGUUGUUGGAGUUCCUGUCAUGGCACAGCAGGUUAAGGACCCAACAUUGUCUCUCUGAGGAUGUAGGUUUGAUCCCUAGCCUUGCUCAGUGGGUUAAGGAUCUAGCAUUGCUGCAAACUGUGGCAUAGUUUGCAAGUGUGGUUCAGAUCUGGUGUUGCUGUGGCUGUGGCAUAGAUCGACAGCUGUAGCUCCCAUUCAACCUCUGGCCCAGAAACUUUCAUAUGCCACAAGUAUG